GAUCUGGCUCAGGACGAACGCUGGCGGCGCGCCUAACACAUGCAAGUCGAACGGAGAUGAUAAAAGCUUGCUUUGAUCAUCUUAGUGGCGGACGGGUGAGUAACACGUGAGCAACCUGCCUUUCAGAGGGGGGAUAACGUUUUGGAAACGAACGCUAAUACCGCAUAACGUAUACGGAUGGCAUCAACUGUAUACCAAAGGAGCAAUCCGCUGAAAGAUGGGCUCGCGUCCGAUUAG
rnacentral:rRNA from 1 species